GGUUCACAUGAGCUGGAAAAUGCAUACUAUUUUCUUGCUGCUAACUGCAUAGUUUUGGAAGACACCAACUAUAGAGGGAAGGGGGGACUAAUACUGGGAUAUGGAACAUGUCUAUGGGACUGGAUGGGCUGUUAUUUCAGCCUGAAGUGAGGUCAUAAAUCUCCUCCAAUACCCCGCCAGCGUUUACAGACACACACACAUCCAUCCAGCAAGCCAGCACAGUCCAAUGUGAAGACAUUCUCCCAGAGCAGUCGGGGCCCAACCUCAGUCCAGGUUUCAGUUAUGGGGGGAAAAGUAGGUUAGCUUGUUAGUUUAUUCUCUCUGCCGGACGAACAGGGAUUUACAGAGAGGACUGUUAAAAUAGAGGCUACAGGGACUUCCAGUAAGAAGUCUCAAGAUGUCUCAGUCCAGUUGUAAUCCCCUACAUCCUGAGGGAGAGCACUGACCAACAACUACCACCCUACAUCCCGAGGGAGAGCACUUGCCAACAACUACCACCCUACAUCCCGAGGGAGAGCACUUGCCAACAACUACCACCCUACAUCCUGAGGGAGAGCACUGGCCAACAACUACCACCCUACAUCCUGAGCACUGACCAACGACUACCACCCUACAUCCUGAGGGAGAGCACUGACCAACAACUACCACCCUACAUCCUGAGCACUGACCAACGACUACCACCCUACAUCCUGAGGGAGAGCACUGACCAACAACUACCACCCUACAUCCUGAGCACUGACCAAUGACUACCAUCCUACAUCCUGAGGGAGAGCACUGACCAAUGAAUACCACCUUACAUCCUGAGCACUGACCAACGACUAUCACUCUAUAUCCUGAGGGAGAGCACUGACCAACGACUACCACCCUACAUCCUGAGGGAGAGCACUGACCAAUGACUACCACCCUACAUCCUGAGCACUGACCAACGACUCACAGCAUCAGCAGGUCUGCUAUCUGUCUGCUAUUUUGAAUACUGUUUCUAGCUGUACUUAUAGCCCCGGACCUCGACCACGCAGUACAAUGAGAGUUUAUGCGUUUGGUUGGGGCCAGGAAAACUGUACUCCCACUUCCAAGAAGAAAUUCAAUAACUGACAAUCACUAACAUGACU
ensembl:lncRNA